rfam:Hydnomerulius pinastri MD-312 unplaced genomic scaffold scaffold_39, whole genome shotgun sequence.
GGCCGCCUGGCGAAAUGGCAUCGCGUCUGACUACGAAAGGAUCCAAAAUUCCAGGUAUCAGGAGAUUGCAGGUUCGACCCCUGCGGUGGUCA